UAGAUACCCUGGUAGUCCACACAGUAAACGAUGAAUACUCGCAGUUUGCGAUAUAUUGUAAGCUGCCAAGCGAAAGCAUUAAGUAUUCCACCUGGGGAGUACGCCGGCAACGGUGAAACUCAAAGGAAUUGACGGGGGCCCGCACAAGCGGAGGAACAUGUGGUUUAAUUCGAUGAUACGCGAGGAACCUUACCCGGGCUUGAACUAGCUUCGACGAGAGUAGAGAUACUCUUUUCUUCGGACGGAGUUA
rnacentral:rRNA from 1 species